rnacentral:rRNA from 1 species
CACGUAGGGCGCAAGCGUUGUCCGGAAUUAUUGGGCGUAAAGAGCUCGUAGGCGGCUUGUCGCGUCAACUGUGAAAACCCGUGGCUCAACCAUGUGGUCUGCAGUCGAUACGGGCAGGCUAGAAUUCGGUAGGGGAGACUGGAAUUCCUGGUGUAGCGGUGAAAUGCGCAGAUAUCAGGAGGAACACCGGUGGCGAAGGCGGGUCUCUGGGCCGAUAUUGACGCUGAGGAGCGAAAGCGUGGGGGAGCGAACAGG